UAAAUGUACCACACCACCCUGAAUGCGCUCGUUCUAGUCUGAUCUCAGAAGCUAAGCAGGGUUGGGCCUAGUUAGUACUUGGAUGGGAGAUCAAAGUAUUUAAUAGACAGUCCAAUAAA
ensembl:rRNA 5S_rRNA 5S ribosomal RNA